rnacentral:rRNA from 1 species
AUUGAACGCUGGCGGCAGGCCUAACACAUGCAAGUCGAACGGUAGCACAGAGAGCUUGCUCUCGGGUGACGAGUGGCGGACGGGUGAGUAACGUCUGGGAAACUGCCCGAUGGAGGGGGAUAACUACUGGAAACGGUAGCUAAUACCGCAUAACGUCGCAAGACCAAAGUGGGGGACCUUCGGGCCUCACACCAUCGGAUGUGCCCAGAUGGGAUCAGCUAGUAGGUGGGGUAAUGGCUCACCUAGGCGACGAUCCCUAGCUGGUCUGAGAGGAUGACCAGCCACACUGGAACUGAGACACGGUCCAGACUCCUACGGGAGGCAGCAGUGGGGAAUAUUGCACAAUGGGCGCAAGCCUGAUGCAGCCAUGCCGCGUGUAUGAAGAAGGCCUUCGGGUUGUAAAGUACUUUCAGCGGGGAGGAAGGCGGUGAAGUUAAUAGCUUCACCGAUUGACGUUACCCGCAGAAGAAGCACCGGCUAACUCUGUGCCAGCCGCCGCAGUAA